rnacentral:lncRNA from 1 species
AACCCGUUCUGCUGGCUCGAGAACGAAGUAGGCCGUCUCGCUCUGGGUCUCCAGGCCCGCGACCGUCCGCCAGUCGUCCCGAGGCAUGAAGAACUCUUGACUGACAGAAACGGAGGGUGUGUCCAAAGUUUUGAGGACGGCCGAGCGGCGCUCCAAAACCCGUCCUCACAGCCUCGCCCCGUUCGCCUCAGCUACAACAAAUCAUCGUCAACCUGUUCCACCUUCUCCAGUCUGGUAGCAAAAAGGGGUGUCUCAGAAUCUCCGGCCUGUGAAACUGUGAGGGGAUUCGGCCAAGACGUCCUCUUCCCUCUGCCUCCCACCCAGGCCACUCUUCACCUCCACCAUGAGCCUGGACAUCCAGAGCCUGGACAUCCAGUGUGAGGAGCUGAGCGACGCUAGAUGGGCCGAGCUCCUCCCUCUGCUCCAGCAGUGCCAAGUGGUCAGGCUGGACGACUGUGGCCUCACGGAAGCACGGUGCAAGGACAUCAGCUCUGCACUUCGAGUCAACCCUGCACUGGCAGAGCUCAACCUGCGCAGCAACGAGCUGGGCGAUGUCGGCGUGCAUUGCGUGCUCCAGGGCCUGCAGACCCCCUCCUGCAAGAUCCAGAAGCUGAGGUGAGGCGGGGCCUGGCACUGCCUCUGGCCUGGUGCAGUCUGCUUUGGUAGCCCGGCAGCAGGGGACAGAGCCGCCAGGGGCGCGUGGGCAGCUGCAGGUGGACAGGCAGUGGCAGCAGACAUUUCCAACAUCAGCCAGAGGCACACAGGCCUGGCGGUCUCACAGCGGGGGGGACAGGGCCCUUCCUGCCUUAUCCCAGCCCCCGCACCCAAGAUCUGGCCCUGCCCGCCAUCCCUAGCCUUCCAGCAUCACCACAGACCCCCACUGAAAGGUGUGUCUGCAGACAAGGUUUCCCUGGGUCGAGCCACAUGCGUGCCCUCCUUCACUCGGCCUGGAGACCCCAGACCCCAGAGCCCCGUCCAGGGAAGGAGCAGGUAUAGACCUGCCGCCUGAAGAGUGCUGCUCCGGGCUCUGGGCUCUGGCAGGCGAAGGGCGUGGCAGCUUGGCUCAGGGGAGCCCUGCUGACAGCCAGGUAUGCUCCAGCCUCCAGAACUGCUGCCUGACGGGGGCCGGCUGCGGGGUCCUGUCCAGCACACUACGCACCCUGCCCACCCUGCAGGAGCUGCACCUCAGCGACAACCUCUUG